rnacentral:rRNA from 1 species
UACGUAGGGUGCAAGCGUUGUCCGGAAUUAUUGGGCGUAAAGAGCUCGUAGGCGGCUUGUUGCGUCGUCCGUGAAAAACCCGCAGCUCAACUGUGGGCUUGCAGCUGAUACGGGCAGGCUUGAGUUCGGUAGGGGAGACUGGAAUUCCUGGUGAGCGGUGAAAUGCGCAGAUAUCAGGAGGAACACCGGUGGCGAAGGCGCCACUCUGGGCCGAAACUGACGCUGAGGAGCGAAAGCGUGGGUAGCAAACAGG